rnacentral:lncRNA from 1 species
AUGAGGACCACGCAGUCCCACACAACAGGCUCAGCGCCUCACGCAAGCUGCAAGCAAACUGCUCCCCAAAGACAGGGCUGCUGGAGUUCUUCACCACNUGGGUCUGCCAUUCAUCGACAAUAUGGUGGAGAUCAGGAGACGGGGACGACGCCCAGCUCAACAGUCGGACCUUGACAAAGGCGACAAGAGAAAACACUGACUUUUUCAGGAAUGCCAACAUUUCCUCACUGCGGCCAUAAAGGAGGAUGUCGGAUUGGCCUGUUGUGAAGGUAGGACUUUGUGCCAUUUUACAGGCUUGUGCCACCAUUUCCAGCUG